rnacentral:rRNA from 1 species
UUUCGGAGAGUUUGAUCCUGGCUCAGGACGAACGCUGGCGGCGUGCCUAAUACAUGCAAGUCGAGCGGAUUGACGGGAGCUUGCUCCCUGAAAUCAGCGGCGGACGGGUGAGUAACACGUGGGUAACCUGCCUGUAAGACUGGGAUAACUCCGGGAAACCGGGGCUAAUACCGGAUAGUUCUUUUCCUCGCAUGAGGAAAAGUGGAAAGGCGGCUUCGGCUGCCACUUACAGAUGGACCCGCGGCGCAUUAGCUAGUUG